UCGGGUCCUCACUGCCGUUGAGAUUGGCAUGCGCAAUCAUGAAAUUGUGCCUUCUGAGCUCAUUGACCGUAUUGCUUCCCUCAAGCAUGGGGGCUCAUAU